GAUAGAGUAGGAGAAAGUUGAGGGCGAUGUUAGGGGACCGCUGGCUUCCUGGUUUUUGAUCGGACUCUGCUGCUGUUGUGGAGAAAUGCUGUGGAAACCAGCUGCUCAAGUGCCCGAGGAAUGGAUGUGCCUGAACCUGCCACUGACUCCCAGGUGGAUUCCAAAUGGGUCCCCACAGAAGACUGUAAGAGCAAAAACUGAAGUUUCCCAGAAAGGAAGUAAUUCUGCCUCAAGACUGCAGUGUCAACCGCCAUGGGAGAAGGAUGGGAAGAAGACCAGAGUGACCUUCCUGCUUCUGCCAUUCUAUCAAAUUCCUUUAGCUUGAAAUAUUCAAUAUGCCAAAGUGCCAUAUUUGGGGCAGUGG